rnacentral:rRNA from 1 species
CGCACCUUCGGGUGAGCGGCGGACGGGUGAGUAACGCGUGGGAACGUGCCCUUCUCUGCGGAAUAGCCACUGGAAACGGUGAGUAAUACCGCAUACGCCCUUCGGGGGAAAGAUUUAUCGGAGAAGGAUCGGCCCGCGUUAGAUUAGGUAGUUGGUGGGGUAAUGGCCUACCAAGCCUACGAUCUAUAGCUGGUUUGAGAGGAUGAUCAGCCACACUGGGACUGAGACACGGCCCAGACUCCUACGGGAGGCAGCAGUGGGGAAUCUUAGACAAUGGGCGCAAGCCUGAUCUAGCCAUGCCGCGUGAGUGAUGAAGGCCUUAGGGUCGUAAAGCUCUUUCGCUGGGGAAGAUAAUGACUGUACCCAGUAAAGAAACCCCGGCUAACUCCGUGCCAGCAGCCGCGGUAAUACGGAGGGGGUUAGCGUUGUUCGGAAUUACUGGGCGUAAAGCGCGCGUAGGCGGAUCAGAAAGUUGGGGGUGAAAUCCCGGGGCUCAACCUCGGAACUGCCUCCAAAACUCCUGGUCUUGAGUUCGAGAGAGGUGAGUGGAAUUCCGAGUGUAGAGGUGAAAUUCGUAGAUAUUCGGAGGAACACCAGUGGCGAAAGCGGCUCACUGGCUCGAUACUGACGCUGAGGUGCGAAAGUGUGGGGAGCAAACAGGAUUAGAUACCC